rnacentral:rRNA from 1 species
CUACGGGUGGCACCAGUGGGGAAUUUUGGACAAUGGGCGAAAGCCUGAUCCAGCAAUGCCGCGUGCAGGAAGAAGGCCUUCGGGUUGUAAACUGCUUUUGUACGGAGCGAAAAGGUCCUUUCUAAUACAAGGGGCUCAUGACGGUACCGUAAGAAUAAGCACCGGCUAACUACGUGCCAGCAGCCGCGGUAAUACGUAGGGUGCAAGCGUUAAUCGGAAUUACUGGGCGUAAAGCGUGCGCAGGCGGUUUUGUAAGACAGGCGUGAAAUCCCCGGGCUCAACCUGGGAAUGGCGCUUGUGACUGCAAAGCUGGAGUGCGGCAGAGGGGGAUGGAAUUCCGCGUGUAGCAGUGAAAUGCGUAGAUAUGCGGAGGAACACCGAUGGCGAAGGCAAUCCCCUGGGCCUGCACUGACGCUCAUGCACGAAAGCGUGGGGAGCAAACAGGAUUAGAUACCCGUGUAGUC